UUUCCGGUUGAUCCUGCCGGAGGCCACUGCUAUGGGGGUCCGACUAAGCCAUGCGAGUCAUGGGGGUGUCCCUUCUGGGACACCACCGGCGGACGGCUCAGUAACACGUCGGUAACCUACCCUCGGGAGGGGGAUAACCCCGGGAAACUGGGGCUAAUCCCCCAUAGGUGUGGGGUACUGGAAGGUCCCCACACCGAAAGGGGCUUCGUGCCCGCCCGAGGAUGGGCCGGCGGCCGAUUAGGUAGUUGGUGGGGUAACGGCCCACCAAGCCGAAGAUCGGUACGGGCCAUGAGAGUGGGAGCCCGGAGAUGGACACUGAGACACGGGUCCAGGCCCUACGGGGCGCAGCAGGCGCGAAACCUCCGCAAUGCGGGAAACCGCGACGGGGGGACCCCCAGUGCCGUGGCAACGCCACGGCUUUUCCGGAGUGUAAAAAGCUCCGGGAAUAAGGGCUGGGCAAGGCCGGUGGCAGCCGCCGCGGUAAUACCGGCGGCCCGAGUGGUGGCCGCUAUUAUUGGGCCUAAAGCGUCCGUAGCCGGGCCCGUAAGUCCCUGGCGAAAUCCCACGGCUCAACCGUGGGGCUUGCUGGGGAUACUGCGGGCCUUGGGACCGGGAGAGGCGGGGGGUACCCCUGGGGUAGGGGUGAAAUCCUAUAAUCCCAGGGGGACCGCCAGUGGCGAAGGCGCCCCGCUGGAACGGGUCCGACGGUGAGGGACGAAGGCCAGGGGAGCGAACCGGAUUAGAUACCCGGGUAGUCCUGGCUGUAAAGGAUGCGGGCUAGGUGUCGGGCGAGCUCCGAGCUCGCCCGGUGCCGUAGGGAAGCCGUUAAGCCCGCCGCCUGGGGAGUACGGCCGCAAGGCUGAAACUUAAAGGAAUUGGCGGGGGAGCACUACAAGGGGUGGAGCGUGCGGUUUAAUUGGAUUCAACGCCGGAA
rnacentral:rRNA from 1 species